rnacentral:rRNA from 1 species
ACGGAGGGUGCAAGCGUUAAUCGGAAUUACUGGGCGUAAAGCGCGCGUAGGCGGCUUGAUAAGUCGGAUGUGAAAUCCCUGGGCUCAACCUGGGAACUGCAUUCGAUACUGUCUGGCUAGAGUGUGGGAGAGGGUGGUGGAAUUCCCGGUGUAGCGGUGAAAUGCGUAGAUAUCGGGAGGAACAUCAGUGGCGAAGGCGACCGCCUGGCCCAACACUGACGCUGAGGUGCGAAAGCGUGGGUAGCAAACAGGA